AUUGAACGCUGGCGGCAGGCCUAACACAUGCAAGUCGAGCGGAUGAAGGGAGCUUGCUCCUGGAUUCAGCGGCGGACGGGUGAGUAAUGCCUAGGAAUCUGCCUGGUAGUGGGGGAUAACGUCCGGAAACGGGCGCUAAUACCGCAUACGUCCUGAGGGAGAAAGUGGGGGAUCUUCGGACCUCACGCUAUCAGAUGAGCCUAGGUCGGAUUAGCUAGUUGGUGGGGUAAAGGCCUACCAAGGCGACGAUCCGUAACUGGUCUGAGAGGAUGAUCAGUCACACUGGAACUGAGACACGGUCCAGACUCCUGCGGGAGGAAGCGGUGGGGAAUAUUUCGCAAUGGGGGAGAGCGUGAUCUAGCGAUGUCGCGUGUGUGAAGAAGGUCUUCGGAUUGUAAAGCACUUUAAGUUGGGAGGAAGGGCAGUAAGUUAAUACCUUGCUGUUUUGACGUUACCAACAGAAUAAGCACCGGCUAACUUCGUG
rnacentral:rRNA from 1 species